rnacentral:rRNA from 1 species
AUGUGGAGCGAUGAGCUGCUAGUUUUUGUAUAUAGCGCUACUUUUCAUGCUAUCUUAGCUAAAGUUGUUCAUAGGGCCUCGGGUAUUGAGUUUGGGUUAUUUUGCAUCUAUGGUGAUCCAUACCACCGCCAAACGAAGCCUAUCUGGGAUCAGAUUGCCAAUUUUGUGUAUGGUAAUAUAGGUAAGCCUAUGAUAUGUAUGGGGGAUCUUAAUGACAUCUUGUAUGAUAUUGACAAGUGCAAUUCUAAGGUUAAUUACCAUCGUAUGUCUGCCUUU